ACGGAGGGUGCAAGCGUUAUCCGGAUUUAUUGGGUUUAAAGGGUCCGUAGGCGGGCUUGUAAGUCAGUGGUGAAAUCUCAUAGCUUAACUAUGAAACUGCCAUUGAUACUGCAGGUCUUGAGUAAAGUAGAAGUGGCUGGAAUAAGUAGUGUAGCGGUGAAAUGCAUAGAUAUUACUUAGAACACCAAUUGCGAAGGCAGGUCACUAUGUUUUAACUGACGCUGAUGGACGAAAGCGUGGGGAGCGAACAG
rnacentral:rRNA from 1 species